GGAGGGAACAAAGAAAAAUGUCAUCAACUGGUGAUGCAAGAUGAGCCCAAUCACUAAACACUGUUUAGCAAACUCCGAAUUCUGCAACCAGGCAGUAGAAGUCAUUUCAAACACUUCAGCAGAGCUCCUGCACAAUGACUGUCUCCUUCUGCUUCUGAGAAUCAAACAGUCCUUUGGCUAAGGAAGAAAAUAAGCGGGGAUGAAUACUGUCCUAUCUUCUUCCGGAAGAAGGCUUUCAAUACAGUGGGGAGUAGGAACUUGAACUCAGAUCCUUGCACAUUGAAACAUGGGCACUCAACCAGGUGUGCCACAACUGGCCCUGGAGAAUAUCAUCUCAAUUUCUUUGAGAGAACAGAAAAUCAGGUUCAAAGGAUUGUUAUAUCUUUGAUAAAAGAUCAGGGGUGGGGAACAUCUGACCUGCUGACUGUAACAUUUGGUCUGGACCUGCCCAGGCAACCACAGGCAGGACUUGAAACACAG